UGAAUCAGGAUCAGACGUGAUUACCCGCUGAAUUUAAAGCAUAUUAUUAAGCGGAGGAAAGAAACUAACAAGGAUUCCCCUAGUAACGGCGAGUG
rnacentral:ncRNA from 1 species